rnacentral:rRNA from 1 species
UACGUAGGGUGCGAGCGUUGUCCGGAAUUAUUGGGCGUAAAGAGCUUGUAGGCGGUUUGUCGCGUCUGCUGUGAAAAUCCGGGGCUCAACCCCGGACUUGCAGUGGGUACGGGCAGACUAGAGUGUGGUAGGGGAGACUGGAAUUCCUGGUGUAGCGGUGAAAUGCGUAGAUAUCAGGAGGAACACCGGUGGCGAAGGCGUCCCUCUGGCCGGAUACUGACGCUGAGACGCGAAAGCGUGGGGAGCAAACAGG